CGUUGACCCGGCGCCGCCCGAAACGCUAACGGGCCACAGGGAAUUCUCCCAACUCUCCCGAUUACUACUCUGCGUGUGCGUGCGUGCGUGCCUGUGUGUGUGUGUGCAGGCGUUAUUCAAUUGCCUGGUAAACAUAUAGGCCUACGGUAAUAUUCAUACUGGUUUAAAUAAUGCAUUUGCUAUUUCCCAUCGUUGCUGAGCAAGAGUUUUGUUCGAUAGUUCAGUGAUAGAAAACAAAUAAUAGCCCGGGCUAUUGACAUCAAGAAGGCCAAACUACAUGAGUUGGCCAUCAGAGGGGCAUGUGACUGCAAUUGAGGAUAGUCCAUAAGACCUGGAGCCAUGAGAAGUUCAGUUUGAAGUUUCAGUUUAAAACACUUCAUUUAGAUUUUCUUUUUAUUCCACUUAUCUUCAGAUGUUUUAGGUUUAAAUUGCAGCUCAGUGAAGCUGCAAUAAUUAUUAAAAUAAAGAACUUUAUGUUGACCAGAUUCUUAGUUCAUCAUUUACAAGUCAAUAUUGCCUAUAUGGACAGCUAUUUAAAAAACGUGAACCUGUAAAACUGCAGUGUUGAAUGCGAUAUGGUCGACAAUUUGGGUGCACCUAACUUUUGUGCUGGUGCACCUAAGAAAAAAAGUUAGGCGCACCAGUGCAACCAGUGAAAAAUGUUAGUUUAGAGCCCUGA